rnacentral:rRNA from 1 species
GACGUAGGGCGCGAGCGUUGUCCGGAUUUAUUGGGCGUAAAGAGCUCGUAGGCGGCUUGUCACGUCGGAUGUGAAAGCCCGGGGCUUAACCCCGGGUCUGCAUUCGAUACGGGCAGGCUAGAGUGUGGUAGGGGAGAUUGGAAUUCCUGGUGUAGCGGUGAAAUGCGCAGAUAUCAGGAGGAACACCGGUGGCGAAGGCGGAUCUCUGGGCCAUUACUGACGCUGAGGAGCGAAAGCGUGGGGAGCGAACAGG